UGGAAAGGCGCGCGAUACAGGGUGACAGCCCCGUACACAAAAGCGCAUGUGCUGUGAGCUCGAUGAGUAGGGCGGGACACGUGGUAUCCUGUCUGAAUAUGGGGGGACCAUCCUCCAAGGCUAAAUACUCCUGACUGACCGAUAGUGAACCAGUACCGUGAGGGAAAGGCGAAAAGAACCCCGGCGAGGGGAGUGAAAAAGAACCUGAAACCGUGUACGUACAAGCAGUGGGAGCACCCUUUGGGGUGUGACUGCGUACCUUUUGUAUAAUGGGUCAGCGACUUAUAUUCUGUAGCAAGGUUAACCGAAUAGGGGAGC
rnacentral:rRNA from 1 species